GAUGAACGCUAGCUACAGGCUUAACACAUGCAAGUCGAGGGGUAACGAGAGGCAAGCUUGCUUUCCUUGUUGACGACCGGCGCACGGGUGAGUAACGCGUAUCCAACCUGCCCCCAACUAGGGAAUAACCUUGCGAAAGUAAGACUAAUACCCUAUAAUUUCCUCAGAUGUCAUCUGACGAGGAAUAAAGAUUUAUCGGUUGUGGAUGGGGAUGCGUCUGAUUAGCUUGUUGGCGGGGUAACGGCCCACCAAGGCAACGAUCAGUAGGGGUUCUGAGAGGAAGGUUCCCCACAUUGGAACUGAGACACGGUCCAAACUCCUACGGGAGGCAGCAGUGAGGAAUAUUGGUCAAUGGGCGGAAGCCUGAACCAGCCAAGUAGCGUGCAGGAUGACGGCCCUAUGGGUUGUAAACUGCUUUUAUACAGGAAUAAAGUUAGCCACGUGUGGUUAUUUGUAGGUACUGUAUGAAUAAGGACCGGCUAAUUCCGUGCCAGCCGCCGCCGUAA
rnacentral:rRNA from 1 species